CAAAGUGUUAAAAUCACCAUGAAUGUGUCAAACCCCUGCCGGAUGUCGAAAGCUAAGUGGGGCUAAGACUGGUUAGUGCUUAGAUGGGAGACUGCGUGGGAAUAUCAGCUGUUGU
rnacentral:rRNA from 1 species